UCGCGUUUCUGGUUGCACAUGUGUUCAAUUUGUGCAAUCAGAGCUAUGCACGCGUGAGAUCAUAGAAAAAAAAAAUUUUCUUUCCUGCCCCGGGUUCCUGACGUGGAGCUCCUGAAAGCCUUGUAAACUCCCAAGUGGCCAGAACACCAGGAGCCUCAUUGGUCCUAUCGAGGGGACUCUGGGUGGGCUCCUGGCUGGCUCCUGGCUGGCAUCUGAUCCGCAGAAGGACAGGGCCCAGACUGGAAGCUUGGAGUUUUCAGCCUUGACCCCCGUUCCCCAGAGAGGGGAGAGGAGCCCCAAACAGUUAAUAAUCAAUCAUGUCCUCACAGGGACGCCUCCGUAAAACCGCAAUAGUCAGGGAAUGGGGGUUUCCGGGCUGGUGAACACAUCCACCCGGGGGGGGGGCAGGUGACGCACCCCAACUCCACGGGGACAGAAGCUCCCGUGCUCAGGACCCUCCCAGACCUCGCCCUGCUCACCUCUUCCUCUGGCUGCUCCCCGGUGGCCUCUGUCAUGUCCUUUGAUAAACCAGUAAAUGUGAGCAAGCGUUUCCCUGAGUCCUGUAAGCCUCCAUCACGAACCAACCAAACCCACGCAGGGGGUGGUGGGACCCUCCCAUCUAGAGCCAGUGGCUCAAAAGCACAGGGGGUCCUGGGCUUGCAGCUGGAUCUGGAGGAAGGAAGGGGCAGUCUUGCAGGACUGAGCCCCUGACCUGUGGGGUCUGACGCCACCUCCAGGUGGACACCCAGCUGGUGUCGCAGAAUUGCUGCGGGGGAGAAACCUCCACACACUUGGGGACCCAGAAAUGGCAGAACUGGGGUUUCCCCUGCACGGGGAGGAAAAAAACCCGAGUUUUCCCAUUUUGGGACAUUUCUAUAAAACUUCUUUCCAUCCCCGUUAGAGGCAUUGCAGGUGCCUUCGUGUUGGGGGGCGGGACUCUCUCUCCGGUGAAGAAGCUGGGUCUGUCUUUUCUGUCUCUCAGCUCCCCAGACGCGGGAUGACAGCGCCACUGCAUGGUCACAGCUGCGGAAGGCUCCAGUCGUGGGGACCCAGACUCUCCUGCUGCCCACCUACUCGGUGUAACGUCUUCAGAGCCUCCCUAACGGACACAGAUGGCUUCGGGGAAGGCCUGCUGACAGGGCAGGGAGCCACACGGCCCACGGGACCCAGUCAUGAGCAGAGGAGGAGGCGGAUCUAGUGACCCUGUGUCUUGGUCAGCUCAGGCUGCUAUAACCAAAUACCACAGAGCAGGCGGCUUAAGCCACGGACAUUUGUCUCCCACACUUCUGGAACGGCCAAGAUCAAGGUGCCCGCAGAUUCGGUGUCUGGUGGACGACGUCAGGAUUCGAUAUUUGUAGAUCUUGCAAAGUGAUCACUACAAUAAAUCUAGAAAUCGGGGUCCCACUGUGGGAGCUGGUGGGAGCACCCAGCAGUCACCCGUGGUAGGGAAGCCUUCGGCCCCAACAGGCAGAAAAAGACCUGGAAAAGAAGAAAGAGGGUGACAAAAUCCAAAUCAAAGUUGAAAGCCGCCCAGUGAACUUUUGUUCCUUUCAUCCAGGCGUCUGGGGACAGAGAAACAAACCGCUAAAAAUACAACAAAAGCUCGUUUGAUGGGGAAGGCCCUCCUCCACCUUCUGGAUCAGGACACCUGAUGGUAUGGGGUCUUCAGCCUGAGGAAAGAAGGAAUUUCUCGUCCCAGAAACUGAAGGGGUGGUCCUGAGGGGUCCUGAGAGGGGCAAGUUCAUGGCCAACACUCUGAAUGGGGGUCACUGUUCAAAGCAGUGAUCCCAUGGUGUGCCGGCCUUGUCUGCCAAAACGGACCUACUGCCCACGAGAAAUGUAAUCAAUUGGGAUCCAAAACUGGAAUCUGUUACUACCACUCUUGCUGGAUGCAGUCCUCACUUGUGGGGUUUUACGACUUCAUCCUAAUUUGUUCGCACAGGAAUUUUUGUUGGUGGAUUUGGUUAUUUUGUGGCAUUGCAGAUUUUCCGCGGUGACCGUGUAUUUUAUGGGCAUCCACGCCCGAGGGGAGCAAUCUUCAUUUGCUAGGGCUACUGUAAGCAAGUAGCACAGGCUGGGGGGCUUGAACAGCAGAAGUGUAAUUCCUGGGCGCCUGGGCGGCUCAGUCGGGUUAAGCAUCUGCCAUCGGCUCAGGUCAUGGUCCCGGGGUCCUGGG